AAAAUGGUAAGCUAAGAAAGCUAUUGGGUUCAUACCCCAAUUAUAGAGAAUAUCCCUCUCCAUUUUA
rnacentral:tRNA from 1 species